rnacentral:tRNA from 1 species
GCCACUGUGGUGCAAUGGUUAAGCAUUCAGCUGCUAACCAAAAGGUUGGUGGUUUGAACCCACCUAGCGGUU